CAGUUGCGUGUCGGUCGUUGGUUGGUUCAGACGUGUUUUGAUUGACUAGUAUAAUUUGUUCUUACUUCUGCUUUCUUAAUUUGUAAUAUAUUCGAUAAUCAAUCGACUGUUUAAUCCUAACUACUAUAUUAAUGUUAUUUAUUAUUUGCGCUUUUUAUGCACAUUAUUGUGCAAAAGUGGUAGAUAGCGUUUCGUGUGCAUACUUAUGCAAAUUACAAGAUUCGGUGUCGGUCGCUAAAUAAAGUGGAUAUAAGAUGGCUCCCACGUAGAUUUAUUCAUCAUUAUCAUUGUCACUUGCUGUGACUUGGUGACUUAUGCUCACAACAAUUGGGCGAGUCACGAGCCAAAUUUGAAUCGUCGCUUCGUCGGCCGACUCCCGAUUUAAAAUAAAAUAAACAAAUAUACCUCUUCCCGCAUGUCCCCUUAAAAAUGUCAUUUAUUAUGUAGAUUUUUAUUAUCUUCAACAUAAGUCCUGAGUAUUGCAACGCGUGAAAUACUGGUAUGUAGUAUAUGUAAUUAAGUGUAUGUUUUGUACUUAUCGACACGUGCUGGUAAUAUGUACGUCUUUUCAGUGAUUGAACGCGAGCGGGCCGCCACAUAAACUUGAGCGGGGUGUAUUGAGUCGUAGAAUUAAAUUCUCCGUCGGGCUGUAUUUGUUUGAUGCAGGAAUUCGACCUGCAACCCGCAAAAAUUUACAUUAAAGCAUGAUUUACUCACCGUUUUUCGUGAAAUAUUUGU